UUAGAUUUUCAGCGACUUCAUUGAGAACAUAAAAUUGUAUUGGGUAAAACAGCUUUAAAUUCCAGGUUUAGUCUUCUAGCCACUUUUUACAGCAAAUCUUGGCUCUUUUUAAAAAUGUGUGGCCUACAUGGCAUAGUGAUUAAUAUUAUGUGUGUUCAGUUGUCAAUUACUUGAAGAAGAUAUACUUCUUAGUUUAGCCAUAUUCAAAAUGACCUUAUGAGUCUAUCUAAAAAUGCAAAAUCUGUCAUUUUUGUUUGCCUUUAUUGAGGAGGAGGAUAGAAGUCAAAUUUAUGCAUGACAUACUUUGCUACUGAUAUGGUUUGGCUGUGUCCCCACCCAAAUCUCACCUUGAAUUGCAAUAACCAUCCUCCUCCAUGUCAAGGAUGGGGCCAAGUGGAGAGAAUUGAAUCACAGGGCCAGUUUCCUCCAUGCUUUUCUCAUGAUAGAGAAUAAUUCUCAGGAGUUCUGAUAGUUUCAUAAAUGGGAGUUCCCUUGCACAAACUCUCUUGCCUGCAGCCAUGUAAAAUGUGCUUUUGCUCCUCCUUUGCCUUCCACCAUGAUUGAGAAUCCUCCCCGGCCAUGUGGAACUAUGAGUCCAUUAAACCUGCUUCCUUUGUAAAUUACUUGGGUAUAUCCUUAUUAGCAGUGUGAAAACAGACUAAUGUGGCUAGAUUAUGAUGCUAAGGGAUGUUGUUAACGUAUAUAUUUGGGGAGAAAGGUUGGUGUUAUGUAUUUUAACCAGGCAGCAUAUUAGAUAA
rnacentral:lncRNA from 1 species